GGCAAGAGCUCAAAUUUGAAAGCUGGCUCCUUCGGGGUCCGCAUUGUAAUUUGCAGAGGAUGCUUCGGGUGCGGCCCCUGUCUAAGUGCCCUGGAACGGGCCGUCAGAGAGGGUGAGAAUCCCGUCUGGGAUGGGGUGUCCGCGCCCGUGUGAAGCUCCUUCGACGAGUCGAGUUGUUUGGGAAUGCAGCUCUAAAUGGGUGGUAAAUUUCAUCUAAAGCUAAAUACUGGCCGGAGACCGAUAGCGCACAAGUAGAGUGAUCGAAAGAUGAAAAGCACUUUGAAAAGAGAGUUAAAAAGCACGUGAAAUUGUUGAAAGGGAAGCGCUUGCGACCAGACUCGCCUCCAGGGUUCAGCCGGCAUUCGUGCCGGUGUACUUCCCUGGGGGCGGGCCAGCGUCGGUUUGGGCGGCCGGUCAAAGGCUCCCGGAAUGUAGUGCCCUCCGGGGCACCUUAUAGCCGGGAGUGCAAUGCGGCCAGCCUGGACCGAGGAACGCGCUUCGGCACGGACGCUGGCAUAAUGGUCGUAAACGACCCGUCUUGAAACACGGACCAAGGAGUCUAACAUCUACGCGAGUGUUCGGGUGUCAAACCCGUACGCGCAGUGAAAGCGAACGGAGGUGGGAGCCCCCUCGUGGGGCGCACCAUCGACCGAUCCUGAUGUCUUCGGAUGGAUUUGAGUAAGAGCGUAAAUGUGGGGACCCGAAAGAUGGUGAACUAUGCCUGAAUAGGGCGAAGCCAGAGGAAACUCUGGUGGAGGCUCGCAGCGGUUCUGACGUGCAAAUCGAUCGUCAAAUUUGGGUAUAGGGGCGAAAGACUAAUCGAACCAUCUAGUA
rnacentral:rRNA from 1 species